UGGGGAAUAUUGGACAAUGGGCGCAAGCCUGAUCCAGCCAUGCCGCGUGAGUGAUGAAGGCCCUAGGGUUGUAAAGCUCUUUCACCGGUGAAGAUAAUGACGGUAACCGGAGAAGAAGCCCCGGCUAACUUCGUGCCAGCAGCCGCGGUAAUACGAAGGGGGCUAGCGUUGUUCGGAUUUACUGGGCGUAAAGCGCACGUAGGCGGACUAUUAAGUCAGGGGUGAAAUCCCCGGCUUCAACCCCGGAACUGGCUUUGAUACUGGUAAUCUUGAGGUCGAGAGAGGUGAGUGGAAUUCCGAGUGUAGAGGUGAAAUUCGUAGAUAUUCGGAGGAACACCAGUGGCGAAGGCGGCUCACUGGCUCGAUCCUGACGCUGAGGUGCGAAAGCGUGGGGAGCAAACAG
rnacentral:rRNA from 1 species